rnacentral:rRNA from 1 species
CCCUUAGAUGUCCUGGGCUGCACGCGUGCUACACUGAUUAAUUCAACGAGUUUAUCACCUUGGCCGAAAGGUCUGGGUAAUCUUUUGAAAAUUAAUCGUGCUGGGGAUAGAUCAUUGCAAUUAUUGAUCUUCAACGAGGAAUUCCUAGUAGGUGCAAGUCAUCAGCUUGCGCCGAUUACGUCCCUGCCCUUUGUACACACCGCCCGUCGCUCCUACCGAUGAAUGGUCCGAUGAGGACUCGGGACUGCAGCGCAAUUGCUUGGGGCAACUCGAGUAGCGCAUGUUGGAAACCUGUUCAAAUCUUAUCAUUUAGAGGAAGGAGAAGUCGUAACA